rnacentral:rRNA from 1 species
GGCAAUGACUAGAGUGGCGAACUGGUGAGUAACACGUAAGAAACCUGCCCUUUAGUGGGGGAUAACAUUUGGAAACAGAUGCUAAUACCGCGUAACAACAAAUCACACAUGUGAUCUGUUUGAAAGGUCCUUUUGGAUCGCUAGAGGAUGGUCUUGCGGCGUAUUAGCUUGUUGGUAGGGUAGAAGCCUACCAAGGCAAUGAUGCGUAGCCGAGUUGAGAGACUGGCCGGCCACAUUGGGACUGAGACACUGCCCAAACUCCUACGGGAGGCUGCAGUAGGGAAUUUUCCGCAAUGCACGAAAGUGUGACGGAGCGACGCCGCGUGUGUGAUGAAGGCUUUCGGGUCGUAAAGCACUGUUGUAAGGGAAGAAUAACUGAAUUCAGAGAAAGUUUUCAGCUUGACGGUACCUUACCAGAAAGGGAUGGCUAAAUACGUGCCAGCAGCCGCGGUAAUACGUAUGUCCCGAGCGUUAUCCGGAUUUAUUGGGCGUAAAGCGAGCGCAGACGGUUUAUUAAGUCUGAUGUGAAAUCCCGAGGCCCAACCUCGGAACUGCAUUGGAAACUGAUUUACUUGAGUGCGAUAGAGGCAAGUGGAACUCCAUGUGUAGCGGUGAAUGGCGUUAGAUAAG